rnacentral:rRNA from 1 species
AUGGCCGCCUCGAAGCUUGACCGCACCCCGAGCAUCCGCGAACGCGUGGAGGACACCCUCCACGCCCACCGCAACGAGCUCGUCGCCCUCCUCUCCAAGUACGUGAGCAAGGGGAAGGGGAUCCUGCAGCCGCACCGCAUCCUCGACACGCUCGACGAGGUCCAGGUCUCCGGCGGCAGCGCCUUCGCCGAGGGCCCCUUCCUCGACGUCCUGCGCUCCUCCCAGGAGGCGAUCGUGCUGCCGCCGUUCGUGGCCAUCGCGGUGCGGCCGCGGCCGGGGGUUUGGGAGUACGUCCGCGUCAACGUGCACGAGCUCAACGUCGAGCAGCUCAGCGUGUCGGAGUAUCUCCGCUUCAAGGAGGAGCUCGUCGACGGCCAGCACAAAGACCCCUACGUGCUGGAGCUUGACUUUGAGCCAUUCACUGCCUUAAUCCCACGUCCGAGUCGGUCAUCGUCGAUUGGAAAUGGCGUGCAGUUUCUCAACAGGCACCUGUCCUCGAUUUUGUUCCGCAACAGGGAUUGCCUGGAGCCCCUGCUUGAUUUCCUUCGCGAGCACCGGCACAAGGGGCAUGUGAUGAUGCUAAAUGACAGGGUACAGAGCGUGGGAAGGCUUCAGUCUGUCCUGACCAAAGCUGAGGAGCACCUGUCGAAGCUCCCAUCUGAAACACCAUAUUCACAAUUUUCCAAUCAAUUUCAAGAAUGGGGCUUGGAGAAAGGUUGGGGUGAUACAACUGAACAUGUCUUAGAGAUGAUACAUCUCCUUCUGGAUAUUCUUCAAGCACCAGAUCCAUCUACACUAGAGACAUUCUUGGGGAGGAUCCCAAUGAUCUUUAAUGUUGUGAUAGUUUCACCUCAUGGAUACUUCGGUCAAGCUAAUGUGCUGGGCAUGCCAGAUACUGGAGGGCAGAUUGUUUAUAUAUUGGACCAAGUUCGUGCUUUGGAGGAUGAAAUGGUUCUUAGGUUAAAGAAACAAGGCCUUGAUGUUACCCCUAAAAUUAUCAUUGUUACUCGACUAAUACCAGAUUCAAAAGGGACAUCAUGUAAUCAGCGGCUUGAGAGAAUAAGUGGUACACAGCACACUUUCAUAUUGCGUGUUCCCUUUAGAAAUGAAAAUGGAGUACUCAGGAAAUGGAUUUCAAGAUUUGACGUGUGGCCCUAUCUGGAGAAAUUUGCUGAGGAUGCAGCUGGUGAAAUUGCUGCAGAAUUACAGGGUACCCCAGAUUUCAUAAUUGGAAACUACAGUGAUGGAAAUCUUGUGGCAUCAUUGCUAUCUUAUAAGAUGGGAAUUACUCAGUGCAAUAUUGCUCAUGCACUGGAAAAGACCAAAUAUCCAGAUUCAGACAUAUACUGGAAGAAAUUCGAUGAGAAGUAUCAUUUCUCUUGUCAGUUUACUGCUGAUAUAAUCGCUAUGAACAAUGCUGAUUUCAUAAUCACCAGCACGUACCAAGAAAUCGCUGGAAGCAAAAACACAGUUGGACAGUACGAGAGCCAUACUGCUUUUACUCUUCCUGGCCUGUACCGCGUUGUCCAUGGGAUUGAUGUUUUUGAUCCAAAGUUCAACAUAGUAUCUCCUGGAGCAGACAUGUCUAUAUAUUUUCCAUUCACUGAAAAGGACAAGCGGCUCACUGCCCUUCAUGGUUCAAUUGAGAGCUUGAUUUAUGACCCAGAGCAAAACGAUGUACACAUUGGACAUCUGGAUGACCGAUCAAAACCAAUUCUCUUCUCCAUGGCAAGACUUGACCGUGUUAAAAACAUGACAGGACUAGUGGAAGCUUAUAGUAAAAAUGCUAAGCUAAGGUCGCUGGUAAACCUUGUUGUGGUCGCUGGCUACAACAAUGUCAAGAAAUCAAAGGAUAGAGAAGAGAUCGCAGAGAUAGAGAAGAUGCAUGAACUUAUUAAGACAUAUAACUUGUUUGGGCAGUUCCGCUGGAUCUCUGCCCAGACGAACAGGGCUCGCAACGGUGAGCUGUAUCGCUACAUUGCUGAUACUCAUGGUGCCUUUGUGCAGCCAGCUUUGUAUGAAGCAUUUGGUCUCACUGUUGUGGAAGCCAUGACCUGCGGACUCCCUACUUUUGCAACACUCCAUGGAGGGCCUGCCGAGAUUAUAGAGCACGGGAUCUCUGGUUUCCACAUUGAUCCUUACCAUCCUGAUCAGGCUGCCACGUUGAUGGCUGACUUCUUUGAAAAAUGCAAACAGGACCCCAAUCAUUGGGUUAAGAUAUCUGACAGAGGCCUCCAGCGCAUUUACGAGAAGUAUACAUGGAAGAUUUACUCCGAGAGGUUGAUGACACUGGCUGGAGUUUAUGGCUUUUGGAAGUACGUUUCGAAGCUUGAAAGGCGGGAGACUAGGCGUUAUCUUGAGAUGUUCUACAUAUUGAAGCUCCGUGAGCUGGUGAAGAGUGUGCCGCUUGCAAUAGAUGAGGCGCAUUAA